UCAUAUGCCUCUCUCUAAAUAUAUAAAUUAAAUUAAAUUACAUUGCCAAUGACCGUGGCUAACUUUGUAUUUCUAUUUGUAUAUGUUACAUGUUGCUCAUGUUGGAAUUUGCUUCUCCUCUGUCACAGCAACAUAUUGAAGACAGAAGAGAUCUCAUCCUACGUUCCUUGGAGAGCCUGGGGAGGAACUGAUUAAAGAUUGCCAGGAUGCAAGUGAAGAAGACUCUGCUCAUCACAUCCUCAAGAUUUUUUGUCAUCAGUGGAAAUGCAGUACAGGAAGGCCACACUCCUUCCCAUGUGUCAGUCAUCGUCGAAGGAGAGGAGGUUCUACAUGACUGCAAAACUGUGGCAAAGGCUUGCCUUCUGCUCAUGGGUUUAAUCUAUACCAUGAACUUGAGCUACCCACCAAAACUGAAAUACACAUUUGAAGUGUUUCAGAAGCUCGUUCUUGAGCUGGAUGUACCAAAAAUGUCACCCAUGGUUCGGUCUUUGCGAAACAAACUUUGAGCAUUAGUGCUUCCCCAGUUUGUGUAUGCUGGUCCAGGACAUAGAUGUUCUUCUGUGGAAGCAUUGCACGACACAUUGUGAACUGUAACAUUUGUUUUUGAUGAAGGAUUUCGGUGUUGAAGGAGGUCCCUUUGAAAGAAAGUGAUAUGGUCUAUUUGUGUGAUUGCCCUUACCUCUCUUGCAAGGCAGUAGUACUUAAGUUACGCUUCUGGUCGUUUCAUCAAUAUUUUGUCUCUCUAAAUGUUCACAUUUUAGUGAAUUUUCUGAGCAUUGUUUUUGGCAGGACUGAUUAGCAUUGUUUCGGCCAGUAAUGCUUGACUAUAUGUUUUUGCAGCGAGCAACUGAGUAAUCACUACUGAAACAUAAUAAAGGUGUUUGAAAGCA